CCUACGGGAGGCAGCAGUGGGGAAUAUUGGGCAAUGGGCGCAAGCCUGACCCAGCAACGCCGCGUGAAGGAAGAAGGCUUUCGGGUUGUAAACUUCUUUUAAGCGGGAAGAGAAGAAGACGGUACCUCUUGAAUAAGCCACGGCUAACUACGUGCCAGCAGCCGCGGUAAUACGUAGGUGGCAAGCGUGGUCCGGAUUUACUGGGUGUAAAGGGCGUGCAGCCGGGCUGACAAGUCAGAUGUGAAGUCCCGGGGCUCAACCGCGGAACUGCAUUUGAAACUGUCAGUCUUGAGUACCGGAGAGGUCAGCGGAAUGCGUGGUGUAGCGGUGAAAUGCGUAGAUAUAAGGAAGAACACCAGUGGCGAAGGCGGAUGACUGGACGGCAACUGACGGUGAGGCGCGAAAGCGUGGGGAGCGAACAGGAUUAGAUACCCGAGUAGUC
rnacentral:rRNA from 1 species